AUGCAACAUCAUUUUGCAGAAGCACACAGGCAGAGCAAUGGGAAAGCAUGUAUAUUGACUGACACCACUCAAAUACUUCGACAUCUGCUUACGCAAUUAGAGUCUCUCCGAAUGGAGAAUAGCACCCUGCAGAAUGAAUCUUAUUAUGUUACAAUGGAGAGGAAUGUGCUGCAGGAAGAGAACGGUGUGCUCUGCAACCAAGUCCUGGAGCUACAAAAUGAGCUGGCCAUGCGGCUUGCGGACAACCCAGGUUGGGGCCACGGUAUCUCUGGGUCGCCUCAUCCUGUUUCUCACUCUGCCAGCUCAGUUUUCCUGUCACAUCCGCCGACCAUCACAAGCGCAGUAUUCCCCUUUCAGCAGCGAACAGUCAUGGAGUACUCUUAUGCACCACCACCACGGGAACUUAAGCUCUUCCCAGAUGCAACGUUUGGUAUCAAAGGCCUUAAACCAUCAAAAUACCAGGAGGCCGACCAUAUUGCGCAACUCUAGGCAAGGUACCCAACACAGUUAGCCUCGUGGGUCGUAAGCCUGGGCCUCCCAAGCACGGAAAAUGAACAAUGUAGCAGUAGCACAACCUGCAGUAGUAAGGAAAGUAGUAGCUCUGCCUCUGAUAAAGAUUGA
rnacentral:rRNA from 1 species